rnacentral:sRNA from 1 species
GCUGGGCAUGGUGGCUCGUGCCUGUAAUCCCAGCUACUCAGGAAGCUGAGGCAGGAGAAUUGCUUGAACCCAGGAGGUGGAGGUUGCAGUGAGCCAAGAUCACACCACUGCACUCCAGCCUGGGCGACAGAGCAAGACUCUGUCUCAA